GUGGGGAAUUUUGGACAAUGGGCGCAAGCCUGAUCCAGCAAUGCCGCGUGCAGGAAGAAGGCCUUCGGGUUGUAAACUGCUUUUGUACGGAACGAAACGGUCCUGGCUAAUAUCCGGGGCUAAUGACGGUACCGUAAGAAUAAGCACCGGCUAACUACGUGCCAGCAGCCGCGGUAAUACGUAGGGUGCGAGCGUUAAUCGGAAUUACUGGGCGUAAAGCGUGCGCAGGCGGUGAUGUAAGACAGUUGUGAAAUCCCCGGGCUCAACCUGGGAACUGCAUCCGUGACUGCAUUGCUGGAGUGCGGCAGAGGGGGAUGGAAUUCCGCGUGUAGCAGUGAAAUGCGUAGAUAUGCGGAGGAACACCGAUGGCGAAGGCAAUCCCCUGGGCCUGCACUGACGCUCAUGCACGAAAGCGUGGGGAGCAAACAGGAUUAGAAACCCGAGUAGUCC
rnacentral:rRNA from 1 species